rnacentral:tRNA from 1 species
GGGGAUAUAGCUCAGCUGGGAGAGCGCUACGCUGGCAGCGUAGAGGUCACCGGUUCGAUCCCGGUUAUCUCCACCA